AUACGGAGGAUUCGAGCGUUAUCCGGAUUUAUUGGGUUUAAAGGGAGCGUAGGCGGACUAUUAAGUCAGCUGUGAAAGUUUGCGGCUCAACCGUAAAAUUGCAGUUGAUACUGGUCGUCUUGAGUGCAGUAGAGGUAGGCGGAAUUCGUGGUGUAGCGGUGAAAUGCUUAGAUAUCACGAAGAACUCCGAUUGCGAAGGCAGCUUACUGGACUGUAACUGACGCUGAUGCUCGAAAGUGUGGGUAUCAAACAGGAUUAGAUACCCUGGUAGUCCACACAGUAAACGAUGAAUACUCGCUGUUUGCGAUAUACAGCAAGCGGCCAAGCGAAAGCAUUAAGUAUUCCACCUGGGGAGUACGCCGGCAACGGUGAAACUCAAAGGAAUUGACGGGG
rnacentral:rRNA from 1 species